AGACGUGUGCCCUUCUGAUCACUUGAGCCCAGGAGUUCUGGGCUGUAGUGCGCUAUGCAGAUUGGGUGGCCGCACUAAGUUUGGCAUCAAUAUGGUGACCUCCCACAAGCGGGGACCACCAGGUUACCUAAGGAGG